rnacentral:tRNA from 1 species
GUGCCUAUGGUGUAGUGGUAGCACGAGAGAUUGUGGCUCUCUUAGCUCGGGUUCAAAUCCCGAUAGGCACC